rnacentral:rRNA from 1 species
GAUGAACGCUGGCGGCGUGCUUAACACAUGCAAGUCGAGCGAAGCGCUUUUGUAGAUUUCUUCGGAAUGAAGCGGAAGUGAYUGAGCGGCGGACGGGUGAGUAACGCGUGGGUAACCUSCCUCAUACAGGGGGAUAACAGUUGGAAACGGCUGMUAAUWCCGCAUAAGCGCACAGUACCGCAUGGUACGGUGUGAAAAACUCCGGUGGUAUGAGAUGGACCCGCGUCUGAUUAGGUAGUUGGUGGGGUAACGGCCUACCAAGCCGACGAUCAGUAGCCGACCUGAGAGGGUGACCGGCCACAUUGGGACUGAGACACGGCCCAAACUCCUACGGGAGGCAGCAGUGGGGAAUAUUGCACAAUGGGGGAAACCSUGAUGCAGCGACGCCGCGUGAGCGAAGAAGUAUUUCGGUAUGUAAAGCUCUAUCAGCAGGGAAGAAAAUGACGGUACCKACUWWUWAGCCCCGYYG